UGCUGAACGGCUCUGGAAGCUCAGGAGUUGAUAGGCUGAAUUGAAAGUUGUGCAAGCCAAACCUGCAUAAACACUUGGAGAAGAGUUUGUUAAAUUUCAUAUUAUAUUUCAAAUCUUUAAAACUACAAUUAUCUGAGGAUUGGUGAAAAGGACAUGUCGUACACAAAUAAUCAUUACAUUGAGGCCAACGCCGUGCAACGUGUGGCUAGUCUGCCGCUCUUCGACUCCGCCCUGAAAACUGUUGUUUCAGUUUACAUGGACGUAAAGGGCCGUUACCCGCUCCUGGGUGUGGUGGGGGGCGUGGCUGAGAUUGGGGUGCGUAAUGCGUCCCAGGCUGCCAUUCUCCGUGCCACCCCCCUCCUACUUAGUCUGGAG